rnacentral:lncRNA from 1 species
AUUUGUGCAGUCUAAUAUAAGAGGAGUCAGUAUAGAGAUGGCAAUCGGGAAGAUCGGACAACAAGUUUACCUGCAUGGCCUCCACCAGUAAUGAUGCAGCGGCUGCCCCAGCUUCCGUGAUGACUUGAAUGUCUACUUCUCCAGCAGUUGGAAGGGGCGGUGCGACCGAAGUUUCUGCCGAUGUAAUCAUAGGAGGAUCGGCCGAUUCUAUACGAGCUCGUACUCGGCGG